rfam:Stegodyphus mimosarum contig67184, whole genome shotgun sequence.
GCCUUCCUGGUGUAGUGGUCAGCACACUGGACGCCUAUUCCAGACGUCCAUGGUUCGAGUCCCGGCGAAGGCG